GGAGAGGCAAGAUGAAGAACAGGCCUGUCAGUUUGCACUGGCUACGUCUGGGAAGCAAAAAUUCAUCCACGUAUCUCC
rnacentral:pre_miRNA from 1 species